rnacentral:rRNA from 1 species
GACAGAGGUGCCGAGCGUUAGGCGGAAUCACUGGGCUUAAAGCGUGUGUAGGCGGACUUCUAAGUACCUUGUGAAAUCCCACGGCUCAACCGUGGAACUGCUUGGUAUACUGGUCGUCUUGAGCCAUCUAGGGGCUGUCGGAACAAAUGGUGGAGCGGUGAAAUGCGCAGAUAUCGGGAGGAACACCUAUGGCGAAGGCAGCUCGCUGGGACGUUACUGACGCUGAGACGCGAAAGCGUGGGGAGCAAACAGG